CAACACCCGUUCCCAUCCCGAACACGGCAGUUAAGCCCUCCAGCGCCGAUGGUACUGGUUUUCCGGGAGAGUAGGUCGCUGCCAGAG
rnacentral:rRNA from 1 species